rnacentral:rRNA from 1 species
AUUGAACGCUAGCGGGAUGCCUUACACAUGCAAGUCGAACGGAGUGGCCAACGGGUGAGUAAUGUAUCGGAACGUGCCCAUUAGCGGUGGAUAACUACGCCUAAGCGUAGCUAAUACUGCAUACUCUUGGAGCGGCCGAUACCGGAUUAGCUAGUUGGUGGGGUAACGGCUCACCAAGGCGACGAGCCGUAGCUGGUUCGAGAGGACGACCAGCCACACUGGGACUGAGACACGGCCCAGACUCCUACGGGAGGCAGCAGUGGGGAAUUUUGGACAAUGGGGGAAACCCUGAUCCAGCCAUCCCGCGUGUGGGAGGAAGGCCUUCGGGUUGUAAAGCACUUUUGGCAGGAAAGCGGUACCUGCAGAAUAAGCACCGGCUAACUACGUGCCAGCCGCCGCGGUAAUAC